GUGUCAGCAGCCGCGGUAAUACAGAGGUCUCAAGCGUUGUUCGGAAUCACUGGGCGUAAAGGGUGCGUAGGCCGCACGGUAAGUCAGGUGUGAAAGCCCGGAGCUCAACUCCGGAAUUGCACCCGAUACUGCCGUGCUUGAGGACUGGAGAGGAGUCUGGAAUUCACAGUGGAGCAGUGAAAUGCGUAGAUAUUGUGAGGAACACUAGUGGCGAAGGCGAGACUCUGGACAGUUCCUGACGCUGAGGCACGAAGGCCAGGGGAGCAAACGGGAUUAGAAACCCCAGUAGUCC
rnacentral:rRNA from 1 species